rnacentral:lncRNA from 1 species
GUCGUGGCGUAUUUGCCCUGGAAUCUCUCAAUAAAGGAGAGUUUGUGGCUGAAUACAGGGGGGGAACUAAUAGAUUUUCUGGAAUCUGAGAGGAGGAGGAAGGUCUCCCAAAAAACGGUGUAUUUCUUUUUCUUUAUGUGGCAGAAUAAACAGUGGUGGUACGUUUUUAAAACCGCCAUUGCUUGUAUUUUGUGAAAACAUAUAUUUUAGUAUAAAAUUUAGCUGUAAGUGAAACUACUUUAUGCCUUGCCCACACAACAGGAUAAUCUGACUGAUCUUGAUCUAAUAGUGUAGGUUGUAGUUUGGACAGUUUAUUACCCUUAGUUGUUUGUUCUGCAUUUUUAAGCAUUGAUGCUUCUAAAGAAGACGGAUCUCUUGGGCGACUGGUAAAUGACGAAGAAAAAAAGCCCAACUGUAAAAUGAAGAAAAUUAUUGUACAGAAUAAACCUCAUCUCUGCCUAUUUGCAUUACGAGACAGCGCCUGGAGAUGAAAUAACGUUUGACUAUGGUGGAAGUGACUGGCCUUGGAGAGGAAAGGUUAGUAAAAGAAUAUUUGCUACUAGCUACUGGUUUUACUUACUUAACAUUGUGAUUGCUACUGAUUUUAAAUAUCAGCUUUUGUAAAUGAAAAAGAAUUCAGUGAUCUUAUCAGGAAAAGUUUAAACAUGUUGAAUGGAUAUUCUAUGUGUAUAUUGAAGUUAGGAGAGGCUGAGCUGAUUUUUCUAUAUUGAUAAAAAAAAAAACCCUCACAGGAAUGUUUAACUUGAUUGUUAAUUUUAAUUAUCUACACAAUUAAUUAUAAUACUAAGUUUGCAUUUUUUGCUAUUUAGUAAGACAGGUGAGUUUUGGUGAGUAUGUAUGUAUUAAGAACAGAAGUGUGAGACUUAUUGGAAUGUUUGCAUGUGAUGUUUGAAAUUCCUGUAGCCUGAUUCAGAGAUUAUCUCCAGUACUAUGAGUGCGGUUGGACCAUCCCAAUUGAUUUCGGGAGCUGAGAAGUAUGCCGAAGCUUCUUCCACUUUUGCCUCUCAGCCUGCUUACGGGAUCCUCUCUAACACGAUGGAUGCGGUUGAACCAUCCGACUUAACUUCAAAAGCUGAGAAGACAACCAAAGCUUCUUCUACUUUUAAGGAUGAAUCCAGAUGGAGGACUUGGGCUGUAGAACACAAGUUUUUUUUUCUUUCAUAUUUUUAUUCUUUGGGCUCUUUAAUGAAUAAAUUAUUGCUAAAACUGAUUCCCUCUCCUGUGCAUUCCUGUUGACUCAAGCUGAUCCCCAAGGGUGUGUGAAUAUUUCAAGUAAAUAUUAACAAAGGUUUUAUUUUAAAUGCUGCUUAUUUAAUGUCCUCAGUGGUGGCUGUUGGGCCAUUUGACACACGUCUGACAAUCCGUCGGUUCUCAGUCUACGUGGUUCAGAGUAAAAUGUAUACAAGUGCAAUGAGUAGUAAAUCUCAUAGACCCAUAAUUAAUUCACAAUAGAACAUAGAACACACUGGUAUAAAAUUGUAAAUGUAAAAUUAAGAAGACUUAAGAUUCUAAAGGAUAGAA